AGAGUUUGAUCAUGGCUCAGGACGAACGCUGGCGGCGUGCUUAACACAUGCAAGUCGAACGGAAGGGCCCUUCGGGGUACUCGAGUGGCGAACGGGUGAGUAACACGUGGGUGAUCUGCCCUGCACUUUGGGAUAAGCCUGGGAAACUGGGUCUAAUACCGAAUAUGACCAUGCACUUCCUGGUGUGUGGUGGAAAGCUUUUGCGGUGUGGGAUGGGCCCGCGGCCUAUCAGCUUGUUGGUGGGGUAAUGGCCUACCAAGGCGACGACGGGUAGCCGGCCUGAGAGGGUGACCGGCCACACUGGGACUGAGAUACGGCCCAGACUCCUACGGGUGGCAGCAGUGGGGAAUAUUGCACAAUGGGCGCAAGCCUGAUGCAGCGACGCCGCGUGAGGGAUGACGGCCUUCGGGUUGUAAACCUCUUUCAGCACAGACGAAGCGCAAGUGACGGUAUGUGCAGAAGAAGGACCGGCCAACUACGUGCCAGCAGCCGCGGUAAUACGUAGGGUCCGAGCGUUGUCCGGAAUUACUGGGCGUAAAGAGCUCGUAGGUGGUUUGUCGCGUUGUUCGUGAAAACUCACAGCUUAACUGUGGGCGUGCGGGCGAUACGGGCAGACUUGAGUACUGCAGGGGAGACUGGAAUUCCUGGUGUAGCGGUGGAAUGCGCAGAUAUCAGGAGGAACACCGGUGGCGAAGGCGGGUCUCUGGGCAGUAACUGACGCUGAGGAGCGAAAGCGUGGGGAGCGAACAGGAUUAGAUACCCUGGUAGUCC
rnacentral:rRNA from 1 species